AUACCUUCUCGGCCUUUUGGCUAAGAUCAAGUGUAGUAUCUGUUCUAAUCAGUGUGAAAACUGAUUUCCACACUUCGGUGUGGUUUUUUUUCACAUUCAUUUUUACAAAUUCCGAGAGUCCAGUUGGCUUGCCACUGACUUUUGGACUGGUUUCCGAGGGCCUAGCACUCCUCCCUUGCGAAGCCUAUCUACA
rnacentral:snRNA from 1 species